rnacentral:misc_RNA from 1 species
UGUACCUAAAAAGAGAGUUUCAAAGGAAGAAACAAUCUUUGGUAUUUUUGUUUUCUUCUUCUGUAUGUGAGUAAAGAAAAAAAUGGUGAGGAAGAGUAGAAUGGGGUGUGGGAAUUACGCUGUCGUAUUGGUGCUUUUGUUCUUUGGGGCUAUGAAAGUGAGAUCGGAUUCAUCAGACCAUAAGUAUAAAUCUGGAGAAGAAGUCCCUUUGUAUGCAAAUAAAGUUGGUCCUUUUCAUAAUCCGAGCGAAACAUAUCGCUACUUUGAUCUUCCUUUUUGUUCUCCAGGUCAUGUAAAAGAUAA